rnacentral:lncRNA from 1 species
AUAGAAUCGUCGUCACUUGAAACUAAGGGAUCAACCUCAUUAGUAGUAGCAGGAGGAGGCACUAUGGGGGUCAAAGGUGACGGAUUGUCAACGGGAGUAAUCAUUUCUUGUACCCGCUCCAUAAUAACAGGAAGAAAAUGAUUAGUAAGUGCAGGAAGCAUUUCCUUUACAAAUUCAUCCAUAUUUGUUGUUGAUGCUGAUUGAGAAACUGAAGGUCGUACAGAUGAUGAGCCACAAAGCUUAUGCUUGUAGUAAUUUUUCGCUUCAGAUCCAAGACCGUAUAUUCUUCUCUUCUUU